UAUUGGUCAUAUGACUGACGGAAGUGGAUUAACCACAUGAAGUAUGACUAAAAAAGCCGACCGUCUGGGCAAAAAGC
rnacentral:ncRNA from 1 species